CCUAGAUUUCACAGAACAGUUGAGCUCAGGCCUGGAAACAGCUACCUUAGAAGACUUGUCAGAAUGCAGACUUACUCCCUAUUCAUCGCCCUAUUGGUCUUGCUAGCAGCCAUAUUCACAAUAGUGUCUGCCAUGCCUUCGCCGGCGCCUACGAUGGGUCCUUUCGACGGAUUCUUCAGGUGGUUCGACAGACUGCUCAAGAACUUCAGAAUGGGCUAGAGGGCGCCUGCUGCUGGUCUUUUCCCCUUUGAAGGAGGGAAGGAUGUUUCCGCUUCCGAGGAGAGAAGGAUGUUUUCCCUUCCGAGGAGAGAAGGAUCUCUCCCCUUCGGAGGAGGGAAGGAUGUUUUCCCUAACGAGGAGAGAAGGAUCGUUCCCCUUCCGAGGAGAGAAGGGGUCUCUCCCCUUCGAAGGAGGGAAGGAUGUUUUCCCUUCCGAGGUGAGAAGGAUGUUUUCCCCUCCGAGGAGAGAAGGAUCUUUCCCCUUCGAAGGAGUUGUAGCAGUCAUUUUCCCCUUAAGAGGAUGGAAUUUUUUUUCCCUUUCCGAGCAGGGAAUACUUUCGCCCCCUUCGGAGUAAGGAAUAUCACAGCUGCCCUAGGGAGGAGGAGGGAAUGGUGCCCCCACAUCCUUCCUUUCUGCAGGAGAUUGCCGUAGGAAUCCUCCAGACCAUCGAGGGAUCCUAAGGAUAUUCUCACAAAUGACGCCCAAAGAUUUGUGUAAAUUUUUGUAAAUACGAUUUUUCUUUUUUAUCUUAUUGCUGUGAGUCAAGUGAGAGAGAGAUAGAGAGAGAGAGAGACUGUCUCUGCCUCUCACUCUUUCUCCCUCUCUCUCUCAGACUCCUGAGAAUCGCUGUCUCUUCUAGUAGUGUUCGUUUUUUACCACAUUUCAUUUUUAAUGUUUAGAUUUUAAGAAGAAAAUAUGUCAGUAUUAUGGCAGAACCUUUCAAAAAAGGGAUCUGAUUUUUGUUUGUGUGACAUAAUUCAUUAUGUCAAUUAAAUUCUGUAAAAGAUGA